GACGAACGCUGGCGGCGUGCUUAACACAUGCAAGUCGAACGGUAAGGCCCUGUCGGGGGUGGAUGCUCGGCUAACGGAUGAGUGAGACGUGGGUGAUUUGCCCUGCACUGAGGUAUAAGUCCGGGCAAGUGAGUCGGAUUACGGCUGGGUAUACGCGACUCAUGCUGUGUGGUGGAUAGAUUUGUGGGUGUGUGAUGGGCGGGCGGGUGAUCUGCUUGUUGGUGGGGUGGUGGCUGACCAAGGAGGGGACGGGUAGCCGGCCUGAGAGGGUGGCCGGCCACAUGGGGACUGAGAUACGGCCCAGACUCCUACGGGAGGCAGCAGUGGGGAAUAUUGCACAAUGGGGGGAAGCCUGAUGCAGCAACGCCGGGUGGGGGAUGACGGCCUUCGGGUUGUAAACCCCUUUCGCCAGUGACGAAGCGUAAGUGACGGUAAGGGGAAAAGAAGCACCGGCUAACUACGUG
rnacentral:rRNA from 1 species